rnacentral:rRNA from 1 species
ACGGCGACCGGCGCACGGGUGAGUAACACGUAUGCGACCUGCCCGUAGCAGGGGGAUAAGCGGAAGAAAUUCCGUCUAAUACCGCGUAAUAUCUUUCGGGGGCAUUCCUGAGGGAUUAAAGGAAGCGAUUCCGGCUACGGAUGGGCACGCGGCGCAUUAGCUAGUCGGCGGGGUAACGGCCCACCGAGGCGACGAUGCGUAGGGGUUCUGAGAGGAAGGUCCCCCACACUGGUACUGAGACACGGACCAGACUCCUACGGGAGGCAGCAG